GAUAAAGAAAAGAGGUCAGAAAGGGGUUUUCUGCAAAACAUCCAUAGAUGCUACUGUACACGACGUAACGCGACAGAACGUUAGCAUCUGGAUUUGUCUCGGCUGGACACGAAACAGGAACACAGUCACAGUUUAACAAACCCACUCAAAGGCAGAGGACGGGGUUUUAUUUGUCAUGGUGGAAUGAUCCCAGUCAAAGAAUCUCUUUCCCAUCUACAGGUUGAAGAACAUCAUACCUCGGGAUUUGACUUUCUGGCCUGUGAAAGCUCCAAUCCUCCCCAGGAUCACAGCAGCAGCAGCAGCAGCGCCGCAGGCACAUGAACAGCCUGACAGACGGUGAGGAGGGAAUCACACAUGCAAAGAUAACGUCAACAUCCUCAAAAGGUGCUGAGUUUGAACAGAAUGUGUUAAUGUGAGCCUGCAUGGAAUUACAUAACAAUUAAAUAUAGAAACUACUUCAAUGUUUGCUUAUGUAUGUCUGAAAAAAGCAAAGUCUGUUUUACGUUCAUGUAAAUUAGUCUGUUUUACUUGACCACGUACUAUAUAAUAAGACAUAUAUUUGACCAUGUACUAAAGCCUGUUCAGGCCUACAGUAACUACAGUAGUCACGGUCAAUCUCAACAUAACUAACUAGCGCCACCUGCUGUUCCAGAUGGCACGUGGCGCCACAGGGAAAGUAGUUUGUAGUCAUUUGUUUUGUAAUAUAACAGAAAAACAUUCUAAACAUAAGAUAUCAGCCUCAUUUUACAAUAGGGAAUAAUUUAUUUAACAGUUGUCAAAUGAAUGUUUGCUUCUGCGAGGCAGCAACGCUCUUCAGUAAACCAA